UUCUUAUUGAAUGAUGACUGUCACGUGUCAUGUUCUGAUUGGAUGUCAAUUCCAUGAAAGAUGAAAUGCAUUGUUGUUUUCAUUGAUCAACCAGAACAUGACAUGUGGUAGUCAUCAUCC
rfam:Glycine max cultivar Williams 82 chromosome 17, whole genome shotgun sequence.